GCGAAUAUAACUUAAUUGGUAGAGUGUUGUAUUGUGAAUGCAAGAGUUGUAGGUUCGAGUCCUAUUAUUCGCC